rnacentral:tRNA from 1 species
GCCUCUAUAGCUUAGUGGUAGAGCGUUGCACUUGUAAUGCAGAGGUCGUUUGUUCAAUCCAGACUGGAGGCA